GGGGUCCGGGCCUCGUCCCCCGUUGAAUUUUCACGGUCCGAUCGCGUGCGCGGCGCUGUGCCAGGGAUCCGUCGUUUCGACGGCGGCAAGUCGGGACUGCCGCAACCCCCCGUUGCCUUGCCCAGGUGUGUUGACUCGUCGCUUGGAGCGUUCUGUGUUUUAGGAUGGGUGCACUCGCAUGAUCCGCUGACACGGCUCUCCCAUGCGUCGCCUCCCACCUUUGCGAGGGGAUGGGGCGGGGACACACCACAGCGUUCCUCGUCGCACCCAUUGGGUGCUCGGGGUUCGGGAUGUGUCAACACCCAACAACACACGGGUGCAUCGCGCACCUCAGAAAAAUCCAAAGAACGAAGCGCGAGCCAGCGCCUUGCGCGCUUGGGUCGCCGAAAGGCAAAAACAAAACAAAAUCACGACUCUCGGCAACGGAUAUCUCGGCUCUCGCCACGAUGAAGAAUGUAGCGAAAUGCGAUACUUAGUGUGAAUUGCAGAAUCCCGUGAAUCAUCAAGUCUUUGAACGCAAGUUGCGCCCGAGGCCUCGGCCAAGGGCACGUCUGCUUGGGCGUCGCACUGCAAAAUUUUGCCCUCCCCGGCGAGGAGCGGAGAUGGCCGUCCGUGUCCGCAAGUGGCGCGCGGUCGGCUGAAAUGAGCACGAGGUCCGUCGAUCCGUCGCGACGAGCGGUGGCUCGCAAAGGCCGGCGUUGGUUUGCGCCGAUCGAACGAUUCCUCGCGAGGAACUUUAUUCUGGGCUCAGCGGCCCGCCGCAGUGCGGGCAUUGCUGCAUCUCUACCGCGUCCCCAAGUCAGGCGUGAGUACCCGCUGAG
rnacentral:rRNA from 1 species